GACCAACUAAGUUUGUUCUUGGUAUGAGCUUUUGUGUGCAUGCACACUUGGUAUCUGAAGAGGUGUGCAUGCACACAAAAGCUCAUACCAAGAACAAAUUUAGUUGGUC